AUUGCUUUGAAUAACAUCUUCAAAAUCAUUCUAUGAUGUCUGAAAUUUAGUUGCAAAGAUUGAUUUAGAAUUUAGUUGUAUAUUCUGGUCCCUGUUUUAGUAUCCAAUAUUUAACUCAUAGGCCAGUCUGAAAUGCAUUCAGAUUUGAUUGUAAAGCUUCUUGUGGUAAGACUUGAAAAUUUCCUCAUCAUAUUUGGAAGGCACCACUGCGCUAUUCUGAUAUUUUUUUGAUUUGGAAAAGAUAUUAAGAUAUUGCUUAUUUCUAUUAACCUGGGAGACCUCUGCUUUUGGGGUCCUGCUUUUACUGUAACCUCUUUUUUGUAAUGAGGAUUUGUCACCUGGUUGAAUGAAUGACAAAGACAUGGAUGCAGAAAAAUCCAAUUCAGAUUCUUCAUUAGCUGUCUGUUUCCAUGGCAAGAUGACUUGAAAAUACAAUCUAGUCCCUGGAGAAAAGAGUGGUUCCCCAAGUACCCUUUAAGAAGAUAUUUAUACUCUCCAGAUCUGGACAGAGAAAAUUAAAAUAAAGCACAUACAAACUAGCAAACACUUUCCAGUCAGUCAGAAUUAAAAGAGUGGCCCAGUCUGUAAAGGAAGACAAUGGUAGAUCUUGCCAAGUAGUUCUGUCACAGAUAGGGUAGGACUGCCUUGCAUAACUUGGGCAAGAAGCAUCAAGUCCUGCGGGGGACAAGCAAAAGUUAUGUAAAAUUCCAGGUCCUGUCCUCCCUGGUGCUGAUGGGGGCAAACAAGUCCUUCUCAACUGAAGCUGCACAAGGAAUCGAGCAGAGUUUUGCAUCCCUAGGAAGUGCAGUCAUUGACAGGGCAGUGGUUGAAACUUUCUGACUCUCAGGAGGUGAUGUCAGGGUCUGGGGAAGGCUUGCUUUCAAGCUGCAAGUUUAAUAGCCCAGGAAAGCCCUCUACAAAGCUGACCCCAUUUCCUACAUGACAGCAAGAGCAAUACUAAUAUGGCAGUGCCCACAAUCGUGGGGCUUGAGCUUUUCCUGGGAAAGUCACAAGUUGUUCUUUGAGGAAGUGAUGUCAGCCACUAUCAAGAUGGAUGAGUUUGGAGGCUGAGUCCCCACAAACCAUUUGCCUGGAGGUUGGAGAUGGGAGCACAGAUCAAUGCAGUGCCCUGUUCUGUGGAGCCUUGCUUUAGCUUUGACUGCCAAAAGCUCAUCAAAGCAGGGUUUUUCCAAUGAAAUGCUUCCAGCUCUGAGCUUGUUUCAGCAGAAAAUGCAAAUCUAACCAGCUACAACCCCAGCUUCCUUCCUCCAAGUCAUAUGGAAUAGGCACAGAAGAUUUAGGCAAUGUCUCAGACUUGUCUUCCUUUUUUUCUGUAGCAAAACUUUUAUAUUUUUCCUAAGGAUGGCAACAAAGAUUGGAAAAAAAAAAAAGCAUGGUACUGCCUCACUGCCUUGCCUUAAGUAUGCUGGAGCUUUGUGGCAUCUUUAGACUGGAUUCUUGGCCUUACAGACUAGAUAAACCUGAAAGUGUACUGGAUAUGAAGUCAAAACAGCUUGUUACCCAACUUGCUUUCUUUCACAGAGUAUUGAAAUAUUAAGAACACAGGUAAAUAAUGCUUAGAUACAACUUUCUUUGUUUGUAUGGAGUUGCAUUUGUUUGUUUGAAGGCAAGCUGGGUGGAGAAUUUUGCAUUUUAUGUCUUCGCGGUGAAUUGUGUGGCUCUGAAAUGUGAGUAAGAUAAGAUCACAAACAAGUAAAAACAUGUGCAGGCUGAAAAAUCAAUAUGUUUCAAAAUAACCGUUGAGAAACAAAUUAUUCCUGUAUUAAUGUGCUGAAAACUAGAUUUAGGAUUCUGCUACGGCUGAUAAUGCUACUAACAUCUAAUACAGUACUGCCAGGGAUUAGAUCUGCCUUCAUAGUCAGAUGUUAAUCAGGCCACCGCCUAAAAGUAAGGUAGUCAAAAAGCCGGUAAUGGUAAAUGAAAUAUAAGGAUUUUUUGAGCUUCCCAUUCUUUGCAUAAUAAUUAGGUCUUAACAACAAUAGUUCUUUUUAAUCACUUAUGCUGGGGUCAGCUCUUUCCAUUUGCCCUGAAAUUUUCUAAUGUUUUAGCUGAAUUAUCCAGAACAGCUACUCUCUUGUUAAAGAUGUUCCUGUUUUUCAAUUCAGGGCUCAACGUCAUUGUCACUGAAAGGUGGCAGAAUUCCUGCUAACUUAAUCACAUUCAGACCUAUACCAUGCCUAACAUCAGAAAGCCAUUAAUAACUAGCUUAUGCCAACCAAAGUCUGUUUUGUCUGUGAUGACACAUCUUAAAAAUAGUUUCCUCUGAAUGAAAUCUGUUUCUGUACUGAAGUAUUACUUGCUGGGACUCACUCUUUCAGUAAUCCUUACAAGUUGGUUCAAACACCCACUGCCCUUGAGAAGCACCUGAAGAAGCCAUUCCUAAUAUGAUAGAAUUCAUGAAUAACUAAAGACAAUAACUGAAAACUGUAGACUAACAGCAAUGUAAAGAUUUAGUUUGCCUCCAGAACCCGGCGUUUCUUUUUUCAGCCCGUCCUUUGCUUAGAACAUUCAGGAAUGCUACGGAUUUGAACACUUGACUUUUCAGAAAUAAUCCUAACAAUCCACAGUCUCUGUGCCUGGUACAUAAUUCACUAAGACAGAAUUAAACAUUCCCUGUUUAUAUUUCUCUCUAUAUGUUGAAGUCUUCUGAAUGCUGGAUUUGUCUACAAAUCAGCCAUAUAUGUACUGUAAACAUCUGAGUAUUUAUAAUGCAGAAUUCCCCAAAUUCUAAAUACCUCAGAUAAUUAUUGACUUUUUAAGAAGAUUCACAUGGAAUUCCAGUCUCAUCUUAUCUACAGGUUCGUAUUUAUUCAACAGCACUCUUUACAGAAAUGCUGUUGACAGGCAAAGGGACAGACUGCUGAGCUCAGAGGCUGUGGGAGAACUGUGGUAGGGCAGCUGGGAUGGGAACAGUGAGCCGGGGUGGCUGUUAAUUCAGUCCUUCCACGUAACCAGAGUGACUCAAGCAGCCUAUCAAGGCACACCAUGUAGAGACUUACCUUUCAUUUAUUCAUUUUAGAUAAUAUUUUUAAGCGUACUUGGCUUGUCUAUAUAGAUGUUGUCCAGUAAAAAAAUAUAUAGUUCUACAUAAAAACAUUCAAACAAAAACAAGGAAAUCUUUCUAGGGGAACUCAUACUAACAGCGCUCAAGAUGGAAUUUGGACCACAGGCCUGAACUAAGAGCAUGUCAGAAGUUCCCAGUACAGUUUCUUUGGUUUUUAUGACAAGGGUGAGAAAUGCAGAUGAAGACUUACAAAAAGAAAAUCCCUACAUGUUACAUUAAAUUGCAGAGGAAAAAGAAUAAAUGAAUAAUAAUAACAGAAGAAUGACCUACUUUGCAACCUAUUUAACCUAUUUUCUUCUACAUGCCCCCUAAGUUCUGACUUUAUUAUCUUGGAUAUUUUUAAACAGCUGUGAAAUCACUUGUUACUUGCCAAUUACAGUUUAACUUUGGAUAAUCAAUGAUCACAGCUACUCUGGAAGAAGAAAAAUAAGUUGGCAGCUGUGACUAUGUGUUAAAAGGGAUGUUUAUGACUGGAUGAUUAAGAACAGGCGUUGGAAGGGAUCAAGACUGGCAGCAAAGCUGUUUGCUCUACAUCUGGGAUCCUUCUGGAGUUGUGGUACUGUACAGCACAGCUUGAUUAGAUCCUACAGCUGGUCUCCCAGCACUUUUGCACUCCUAGCAGUCCUCCAGUUCUCUCUUGCUGCUCUAACCCAAGGCAGGAUAGCCUGUAGCAUCUCCCCAUUUGCUGAGGCAGAACGGCACAAGAACACACCCUGGGAGAGGAGAAAACACUCCUGGGGACAGGCUGAAUAACAGAAGUCGGAGGAUAAAGUGGACAACAUUUGCAAGAGCAGGAAUCUCAUUUCAUGGACUUCUUGUCCAAGCCUUUCAAAGACUGUCAGAAGAGAGACUCAACUGAAUCAUUUGCACAACCAUUUUAUCAUCUUUCCAUGAGACAAAGUUCACACAGAGAGAUAAGGAGACAGAGCAAAUCAGAAGCCUUGCCAUUCAAAACAUGGUACCGACAAAAAUCUUUUGAAACAGGGUUUCAUGCACCUGCAAGAACAGAGGGCAUCAUCAUCACUUACACCAGUGAAGCAGCUGUAAACCGUUUAAAAUCAGCAUCUUUCAGAUGUCCUUGUUCUUUUCUCAGUUAAACAUGGAUGAGCCUGCAUUUGGAAAAUCUUUGCUGCUACUUCAUUUUCCUAAGGAAGCCCUAUCAAACUUCUUCAUUUUCUCACUAGAAGUUUGAGAGCAAGAUUGCAUAAAGCAAGCAUCAGGAAGUCAAAAAAGCAGUACCUGGGCUGGUUCACUGGAGACCAAAGAAAAGUAAAAGUACUGAAUCCUAUUGGUAGGCAUGAAAAGUAAUAGUUUCUUAUUGCUGAGCUGAUCCUUCCACAUCCAAAGAUAACUUUUAAAAGAAAAAGAGAGUUGUUUUUUUUGUUUGAAGGGUUGCAAGUUUUGUGUCAUUCUGCAGUUUGGAGAAUUACUCCAUGACCCUUUAGCUCUGGGGUGCUCCUGAGGCAGACCCACAGCAGAAUGGGUACAUACACCUUGUGCCAUUUGUGCUGGGCAUGAGAGCUGAGAAAGGGACAAGUGCGGGCUGUCUCCGUGGGUCUGUGCCCUGCUGAGUUGUUCCUGGUGAUGUGAACACGUUUAUGGCUGGGGCAGUUAAGCUGCUGGCUCUGAAGCUGUUUUGAGCUGCUGGAGCCAUGCCAAGGAUCUGGCUUAACUGAUAGAUUUUGUUUUCAAGUUGCAUAAGCAACUUGCUUAUGCCUAUAACCUGCUAAGGCUUUUUUUUUUUUUUUUUUUUUUUAGUGCAAUUGUUAAUUAAUUGUUAAUUUCAGAUAGGACUACCAAUAUAGCAGCUACACAAGGACCCGUUUUGGCAUUUGUCACCUUACCUUAAAUGCCCUCCCCAGAAUCUGCAUCCUUACCUGUAGGCCUUUGGGCCUGGCCUUACAGCCGGGAUUCUGACAUCUACAGUCUGCAGAGCCCUGCCUGCAGAGGUGGGGGUGAUAUUCACCUUCUCCUUUUGAGAAACUGUAGAUUAUAUUCACCCUUGAUGUAAAACCUCUUUUAGGACAUUUCUUUUAGGACAAAAUCACCCAGGUUUCAUCAUGAACCAAAAAGUAAUUUAAUAGGCUUGAACUUACAAGUGUUAUGUUUCCUACUUGUACUUUUUUAUUGUUUGCUAUGCCUUUGUGUUCUUUAAACGUUCAAAACGAGUUUCUCUUCUAAAAGGGUUUUUGCAAAGGCUCUGGAACAUGCUUGUGUAAGGGUAGAACAUACAAGUGUUGAACUGUGUGGCUGAUGGCUGUUUGCAGAGCUCACAGCAGGACCAAGAGUGGGAUCGGGAAGGUUAUGUUAAAGGGGAGCUGGAAAACUUCCCUUCUGCAUUCCCUACUGCUGCAAAACCAAAACAGUCUGCAGGAGCUUGUAUCCUACUCCGAACGCUUAGAAGUGAAGGACCACAAAACUGAGGGUAAGACAGGACAGGCGGACCUAUGCAGUAUAGGGCACUCAGGUAGUGUACAGACGCUCAGCUCCGGUAUAACGGAGGCCCCCCAUGUCCGAUCCCCCAGCAGCACCACGCGGUCGGUG